GCUCUCUCUCUCUCUCUCUAAAAAACCCACAUAUCGGAUCUGAUACACUUGAAAACUAGUGGUUUCAGUAUUGAUUUCCUCUCUCUCACUCUAUCCAGAAAGCAUCCACCAACUUCAGGUGAGCUCAAGGCAGAUUUACAUAGAAACCAGGGGAAGGAAACAAUCCUCAAAAAACCUAACGCCAAGAAUCUCAAGAGGAGCUUCACCAGAAGUUCAAGACAAACAUAUACAAGAAGAGAGAGAAGAAAGGGAAGAGAGAGAAGAAAGGGAAGAGAAAGAAGAAGAAGUUUUGAAACAUCAAAACAAUGGUUGCAGCAUUGAGCUGAGCUUAACUGACACUUAUUUCCCGCCUUCUUCCUCUUCUGCUCUCUCUGAGAGAGCAGAGACAUAAGAAAACCAAUAUCAAAAAACACCCAUGAUCAAAACCAAUAGGCACCCUGCUAUUUUACAGCUUCUAGCGUGUGGAUCUAUGGCGAUGAAAACCCAUCAAAUGAAAAAGGGGAGAAACCUCUUUCAACCCAUUAAAAACUAAAGCUUACACAAAAGGGUGGUUUGUAAAACCGCUGCAAAAAAUGCAGUUUUAGAUGAAGAUCUUUAUUAUUUGCCUGAAAACUUGCGAUUUAGGCCCCUCAACCUGAAUAGAGAGAGUAUUUUAGUAGGAGUAUUGUGGAGAGGGCGCAGGAAAACCAGGACUCUGGGGAGUUGUCCUCUCUCAAGAAAUCGUCUUCCUACAACGAGGAGCGGUCAGUUUCCUGUUCUUUCUCUCUCUAAUUCUUGUUUCCUCUUUCUUCCCUUUUGUCUCCUCUCUCUCCUAAGCAUUCUUCUAUUACUUCGCAGCUGCUCUGUUGUAUUUUUUGUCGUUCUUUCUCGAAAUGAUUCAUGGUUUCUCUCUCAUCCCUUUACUUCAUCUCUCAAGAAAUUUGCCAUUUAAUUUUCCAAGAAAUUUUCCUUAAACUUCUGUUUCAGUCUCCGUGAUUCUCUCGAUUUAAUUUCAUCUCUCUUACUGUUUGUUUUCUCUCUCUUAUCUGUGGUUUUGAGAGAGAGAGAGGAGAGAGACGAUGUAGAUAGAUGAACACUACAACUUUCGCUAUUAGUGAGAGAAAUGAAAUUGUCGUUCUUUCUCGAAAUGAUUCAUGGUUAGAGAAAUGAAAUUGUCGUUCUUUCUCGAAAUGAUUCAUGGUUUCUCUCUCAUCCCUUUAUUUCAUCUCUCAAGAAAUUUGCUACCCAAGAAAUUUUCCUUAAACUUCUGUUUCAGUCUCCGUGAUUCUCUCGAUUUAAUUUCAUCUCUCUUACUGUUUGUUUUCUCUCUCUUAUCUGUGGUUUUUUGAGAGAGAGAGGAGAGAGACGAUGUAGAGAGAUGAACACUACAACUUUCGCUAUUAGUGAGAGAAAUGAAAUUUUGAGAGAGAGAGGUAUUUGAGAAAAACGUGAAAGUAAAACAAAAGUGUUAUUGUAGUUUUUGUUUGGCCAAAAAUUCAAUCCAAGGGGUUGCGCUUGGCCAAAAAUUCAAUCCAAGGGUUACGAGAUAUAAAAAAUAGAAAUAUUUUGUUUAUAAGUAAUAUUUUUAAUUAUCUGAUUUAAAAAAUUUAUGGUUAGAAAAGUUGGAGACAUAUAGUUUCAAUCAUAGACUAUUUUCAAUUAUUGACUAUCAAGAGAUAAGAAUUAAAAAUAAAAAAUAGGGAUAAAAAUUAAAAAUAAAAAAUAAGUAGAUAUUUUCCCCAAACUUUUCCCACCCUAAUUUCAGCAAACCAUGUAUUGUCUGGAAAAAUUCAAAAUUUGGGAGCAAUGGUAUAGUGUCGUCUUUGCAAGACAACCUCACUGUAAAAGGUGAACAAAAAAAAGUUUACGUUUAAUGAGAUGACAACAUUUAAUUGAAUGUUGUAAAAUUUUUUAGUUUGUAAUACAAAGUGGCUUUGAAGGACCACAUUGUACUCUUGCUUCAUUUACUAAAAUGUAAUUUAUUAUUUAAAACUUUUCAACCUAUUUUAGAAUGAGAAAUGAUCCAAUAUGACCCACCUCCAUCCAUGUGUGUAGGAUCCCAAGGGAUCGCCAUUAAAUUUGACAUAGAUCUAUAAAAAAGUCAAAUUUUACACUCAUAUAAUAAUUUUUCUAAAAAUCCUUGCUAACUGUAAUGGUAAUCCUUUGGGGUUCUAUGCACAUGGAUUGUGGGAGGGUUAAGAUCAUUACUUUUUUAGUAGAAAGAAAAUCAGCUUUUAUUUCCUAUCUAAAAAAGCAUUUCAUUUGAUAAAUCAAUUACUAUACUAACUUUUCUUUAAGAUAUAAAAAUAAGUGAAGUACGAGUUCGAAACUUCAAGGUCCCGUGUCCUUUUAUGUAAAAGAUCCAUUCGGAACGUCAAGUUUUAAACAUGUUAAUUUGCAAGAAAAUUGGUUCAAAUAUAAAAUUCUCAACCAAUCUCUCAAUAGAAAAAGGAGGACCCAGUUUGGACUUGAAGUUUCAAACCCAUAGUAUUUUGAAAAAGUCCAAAAUUCAAAAAAAAAGCACGAUUGUAAGUUGUAAAAAAUCAAUGACAAUUUUUAAGCCACAAAUUAUUUGAAAUAUUUACAAAAUUUUCCCAAAUAAUAAAAGACCUCACUUACACACCCAAGAAAUAGGAGUGGCAAUGGGCAAGGAAGGCUGGCUAUAGAAAUGGGCACAAUUUAUUUGGCCCAAGGGCUAGCCCAAGCUUCAAAAUCUAAGCCCAAUGUCUAUAUCUAGGCUUGGCCUGGACCAUAGCCUGGGCCAAGGCUCAUGGCCCAUGGGGUUUUUUUCAUUUUUUCUUCAUCAAAUAAAAAAGACAGAAAGAAAGACUAAAAAGAAAAAAAAAAAAGAAAAAGAUUCGGUAUCCUAGGGCCUCAUCUGGCCCGGCCCGGCCACAUUAAUAAGGCCCGGCUGGCUGAGGUAGCCAAAGAAUAGGGCCAGGCCUAGCACUGACGCAUUAGGUCUGGUCUGGGCAGGGCAGGGCAGGCCAGGCUUGGCCAAGCCGCAAGGUUCUUGGGCCAGCCUUAACAAGAUAUAAAUGAUUAGAGCGGUCUUUCAUCAGCCAAAUGGAUGGAUCUUCCCUAUCCUCUCAUUUGUUCAAUUCUACCCUAUUAAGGAAGCAAAGAGCAUCUAGUGAGUUGACAGCAAAUCUGGAUCAUAUGUCUCCACCAUUACCUGAAGCAUAACAGCCUAAGCACCUGAUCUCUAAUAAUUUGUUUGCUACUUCAAGUGAAGGAUUACUUAAAAGGCUAAAUGCUGGGUUGAGGGCAACCGAGCCACUCGUGGAACCCACUUAAAUAACUACACUAUGCAUCAUCAGCUGCAGUGCUAGGAGACAAGCAGAUCCCUCUUCUAUGGGAUAACCAAAAUGUGAAAACAAUAUGCCUUAAAAAAUGAAAAGAAAAAGAUUGCACAUGUUCUGGUUCCUUUCCCAUGGUCUCUCCACCUUAGACUUGUAUAAGAGGCAGACCUCACAUGUUCAAUCCCCAAGCCUGAGGUUGGAUCAGAGUCCUUGAGUUACAACAAUGGAUGCCUCAAUUUCAUACCAUGUCCGUUCCCUCAGCUUGCCCUCUGGAUCUCACACCGUCUCGCACCAAUUGACCGAGAAGGUCAUCCACAUUAGCAAGUGUGAAUCAAAUCCUCAAUGCUUUGUUGAUUCUCUCGCUAACUUGUACAACGAUUUGGAUGGACUUCUUCAAUUGCAACUUUCCCGAGAAGCCCUCCAUUGAGAUGAUAAGUUUGUUAGCGAGAUGCUCGAUGACACACUUAAAUUGCUUGAUGUCUGUAGCAGGAUGAGAGAAGCUAUAUCCUGCUUUGGAGAGCAACAUCGAGGCCUCCUAUCCACUCUCCUUAGAAGGGGUUACAUUGGUUUGGAUUGCCAAAUUGGGGUCUACAUCUCAGCCCAACAGAAUGUGGCCAACGUUUCGGCCAAAUGCCUUGGCACAUUGAGGAAAGACCACAAGACACACCAACAACAAUCCACUCAAGACAAUGAUGUCUUGUGUGCAUUGAGACAACUUGGAUCUAUCACCAAUUUGGUGUGUGAAUCACUCCUAUCAGGAUUCACUGCACCAAGGAGACAAGAAUCGAUCAUCUCCUUCAUUUUAAAGCCCAAGUUGCAACAGCCUAAUGGGCAGUGGGAGAGUACUACAGUCGCUCUCAAUAUCCUGUGCACCAGCUCCAGCAAGGUUGAUGAGUUGUAUGUGAAGGAUGCCCAAAAACAACCAGAAACAUUGGAUGAUUGCAUGAACAACAUUGAUGAUCAGUUGGGGUGCAGCAGCAGUCACCUGAUUCGAACCCGUGUUACCCUCCUUAACAUUCUAACAGAAUAACCCUCUUCUAUGAACUCCAAUUUUGAGCUCGGGGCAUCCGCUUUUUCUAGGAUCUACCCCAGUAGCUUGUAAUUAUUAUGCCUUGUACAAGACACUAUACUUUAAAGACGAUAAAUUGUCAUACAUUCAUUUCUUUGGUACCUCACCUAUGUUUUCACCUGAUAAUGCAAUUUAAAGUCCAUGCCUCUAGUGGUUCAGCUGUUUGCAUUGAAUACCCAUAAGGAUCAUCCUAUUUUGCUGUGAUAAAAAAAAAUGAUGAAACCUUUUUUUUUUGGGUAGAUUAGUGGGGAUUACAUGCCCCUACCCAUUUUUGGAAGUUGUCAAAACUUUUAUUGCGUUAGUGAGAAUGGACGCCGUGAACUUCACCUGUGCAUGCCUUUAGUGGUUCAGCUGUUUGCAUUCAAUACCCAUAAGGAUCAUCCUAUUUUGCUAUGAUAAAAAAAAAGAGGAAACCUGUUUUUUUUUUUGGGUAGAUUAGUGUGGAUUACAUGCCCCUAUCCAUUUUUGGAAGUUGUUAGAACUUUUAUUGCGUUAGUGAGAAUGGAUGUCGUGACCUUCAACUGUGUGUGUAUGUGCAUGCAUUAUUUGAUAAUUCUUUAAUGAUUUUUCAUCAAUGUGUUUUAGCAUAAAGGCACCUUCAACUAUAUGUGUGUGGGUAACUUGUUGUGGACACUUUUGUUAGUUAUUGCCAACAACUUCAGAUUAGUCUUCUCCUUGGUCGAUGCCAGAACUAGUAAUCUUGAAUAACUGCGGAGAAAAAGGAUUGUAUACAAUGAGAUCAUUUGC